rnacentral:rRNA from 1 species
UACGUAGGGGGCAAGCGUUGUCCGGAUUUAUUGGGCGUAAAGAGCGUGUAGGCGGCCAGGUAGGUCUGGUGUGAAAACUCGAGGCUUAACCUCGAGAUGUCAUCGGAAACCAUCUGGCUAGAGUCCGGAAGAGGAGAGUGGAAUUCCUGGUGUAGCGGUGAAAUGCGCAGAUAUCAGGAAGAACACCAAUGGCGAAAGCAGCUCUCUGGGACGGUACUGACGCUGAGACGCGAAAGUGUGGGGAGCGAACAGG